UACAGAGGUGGCAAGCGUUGUUCGGAAUUACUGGGCGUAAAGGGCGCGUAGGCGGCCGAAUAAGUCUGAUGUGAAAUCCCUCGGCUCAACCGGGGAACUGCAUUUGAAACUGUUCGGCUCGAGUCCGGGAGAGGGUAGUGGAAUUCCCAGUGUAGCGGUGAAAUGCGUAGAUAUUGGGAGGAACACCGGUGGCGAAGGCGGCUACCUGGACCGGUACUGACGCUGAGGCGCGAAAGCUAGGGUAGCAAACAGG
rnacentral:rRNA from 1 species